AGCGAACGCUGGCGGCAGGCUUAACACAUGCAAGUCGAGCGGUCACUUCGGUGUCAGCGGCAGACGGGUGAGUAACACGUGGGAACGUACCCUUCGGUUCGGAAUAACGCUGGGAAACUAGCGCUAAUACCGGAUACGCCCUUUUGGGGAAAGGUUUACUGCCGAAGGAUCGGCCCGCGUCUGAUUAGCUAGUUGGUGGGGUAAUGGCCUACCAAGGCGACGAUCAGUAGCUGGUCUGAGAGGAUGAUCAGCCACACUGGGACUGAGACACGGCCCAGACUCCUACGGGAGGCAGCAGUGGGGAAUAUUGGACAAUGGGCGCAAGCCUGAUCCAGCCAUGCCGCGUGAGUGAUGAAGGCCUUAGGGUUGUAAAGCUCUUUUGUCCGGGACGAUAAUGACGGUACCGGAAGAAUAAGCCCCGGCUAACUUCGUG
rnacentral:rRNA from 1 species